UACGAAGGGGGCUAGCGUUGCUCGGAAUCACUGGGCGUAAAGCGCACGUAGGCGGCUUUCUAAGUCAGGGGUGAAAUCCUGGAGCUCAACUCCAGAACUGCCUUUGAUACUGGAGAGCUCGAGUCCGGAAGAGGUGAGGUGGAACUGCGAGUGUAGAGGUGAAAAUUCGUAGAUAUUCGCAAGAACACCAGUGGCGAAGGCGGCUCACUGGCCCGGUACUGACGCUGAGGUGCGAAAGCGUGGGGAGCGAACAGG
rnacentral:rRNA from 1 species